AAGACCUUGCACUUUUGGAGCGGCCGAUGUCUGAUUAGCUAGUUGGUGGGGUAAUGGCCUACCAAAGCUUCGAUCAGUAGCUGGUCUGAGAGGACGGCCAGCCACACUGGGACUGAGACACGGCCCAGACUCCUACAGGAGGCAGCAGUGGGGAAUUUUGGACAAUGGGCGCGAGCCUGAUCCAGCCAUGCCGCGUGAGUGAAGAAGGCCUUCGGGUUGUAAAGCUCUUUCAGCCGGGAAGAAAAGGUUGCGACUAAUAAUCGCAAUCCAUGACGGUACCGAAAGAAGAAGCACCGGCUAACUACGUGCCAGCAGCCGCGGUAAUACGUAGGGUGCGAGCGUUAAUCGGAAUUACUGGGCGUAAAGGGUGCGCAGGCGGUUUUGUAAGUCAGAUGUGAAAUCCCCGGGCUUAACCUGGGAACU
rnacentral:rRNA from 1 species